UGGCGGCAGCGUGUCGGGCUUCGUCGCCGAGGUUGCCACCCUCUUCAUCGACGACGCCGACUGGAUCAUCAACGACAUCGGCAGCCUGCUGGACGCCGGCGGAACCUAGCCACCACUCCCCGCCGCGCCCCUCGUUGGUUACUUGUCGUGCUCGAUUUUUCCUUCCACGGACGAUUCUGUCAUUCGCCUCUACUGCCGGUGGUCGUGCCAGUCAUGCUCCUACUGGGACAUGCAUCCUUUAGCUAAAUUCAUCUUUGUUUGAUGUAGUUCUUUGUGAUCUGAAAGCAACUGACUACUCAAUACCAAUCAGUGCGUGGAGGGAACUCCUGUCCACCACGCCGGCGACAGGAACAUGGAAAACGCAGUCCACGGUGCCACCAAUGAACAAGGCCGAGACAAGCAUUGUAAGGAUCCCAGUUAGAAUGAUGCUUGAUCUCCUGUUAGAGCAUCUUGGGCUUCACAAGGCCAUCUGAGGCUCGGGCUCAAUGAGAACACAAUGAGUGUCAUCGUUCUCUCUGACACUGCUGUUCAAGACGACCGGACCUGUCCACCGCGCAUGCCCAUUACUGGUGUUCAGUCCUCCAACGACAAUAUCUACCGUGUAUGAACAUUGCAUCCUUUAAUUUACCCUGUAUAUGAACAUUUCAUUCUUCAAAUGUGUUGUACUAUCGUUCUGGUGGCUAUGGAGAUGUGUUGUACUGUAGUUUUGGUAUCCACUGAUGAUGUCUUGCUCCGAUUACACUUGAAUGUUUCUUUUU